GAUGGCCUAGUGGUUAGAGCGCCCGCCUCGGAUGUGGAAGGUCGUGGGUUCGAACUCCGGCUGAGUCA